rnacentral:rRNA from 1 species
AAACCUGCGAAACUCGAAUGAACGAACGGGGAGAUUCAUCGACAUCCGACGGCGUACGGGCGCGCGCCUCGAUGUCGCGCCGGCGCCCCUCGCGGGUGCCGUCGCGCGGCACGGGUCGCGUCCGGUUGCCGCGUCCGUCGGCGUCGUGCACUUCUCUCUCAGUAAUGCAUCGCGACCCGUUCUCGGUCGGCUUAAGCGCCGUCCGACUCGCCCAGCGGUGCGGCGCUCGCGCACGCCGCUGGACCGUGACGGUCGCCGGCCGGCCGGGGACGGUAGUUGUACGAAUCGCGCACGCGCUUAGCGCGCGUCCGGCCCGACGCAAGCUCGCGCCGUACAGUGUCGCUUUCCUGCCUUUGCGCGGACAGCGACGCGGCGCCGCUGCCGUCGCAGCCGUGCAGUCUCGGACCGUGCGCGUAUCAGUCUGCGAUGAGUC